GGCUCAGAACGAACGCUGGCGGCAUGGAUUAGGCAUGCAAGUCGAACGAAGCAGCAAUGCUUAGUGGCGCAAGGGUGAGGAACACGUGAGUGACCUACCCGCAAGUUUGGAACAGCUCCUGGAAACGGGAAUUAAUACCGGAUGUGAUCGAUGAACUGCAUGGUUUAUUGAUUAAAGCAGCAAUGCGCUUGCGGAUGGGCUCGCGUCCCAUUAGCUAGUUGGUGAGGUAACGGCCCACCAAGGCCAUGAUGGGUAGCUGGUCUGAGAGGACGACCAGCCACACUGGGACUGAGAACUGCCCAGACUCCUACGGGAGGCUGCAGUCGAGAAUUUUGGGCAAUGGACGAAAGUCUGAACCCCAGCAAUGCCGCGUGCGGGAUGAAGGUCUUCGGAUUGUAAACCGCUGUUUGGAGGGACGAAAAUUGACGGUACUUCCAGAGGAAGCCACGGCUAACUACGUGCCAGCAGCCGC
rnacentral:rRNA from 1 species